UACGAAGGGGGCUAGCGUUGCUCGGAAUCACUGGGCGUAAAGGGUGCGUAGGCGGGUCUUUAAGUCAGGGGUGAAAUCCUGGAGCUCAACUCCAGAACUGCCUUGAUACUGAAGAUCUUGAGUUCGGGAGAGGUGAGUGGAACUGCGAGUGUAGAGGUGAAAUUCGUAGAUAUUCGCAAGAACACCAGUGGCGAAGGCGGCUCACUGGCCCGAUACUGACGCUGAGGCACGAAAGCGUGGGGAGCA
rnacentral:rRNA from 1 species